UUUUUUAUUAAACACUUUGAACAAUCGUACAAAAUCACGUGGCAUGUACAUACAUGAAGAGAUCAAGUCUUACAGGUUUAAGGCACACUUAUAAUUAUAAGACAAUAAAAAAAUAGAAAUAAAAAAAGUAAAAUAAAAUAUAAAUAAAUACAAUUUGUCAGACAUCAUAAAGGGAUACCAGAAUGACAAAAACACACAGAAAAAAACAAAAGGGCAUUAGUUCUAAAAAAAAAAAUUAGAUCAUUAUAGGCGUUCAAGAGCUGUAUUCCAUGCUUGUUUUUCAUAGUUUUAAAGCACUGAAGUGAUUGUCCAUUAGAAGGUUUUUAAAGGCUGAAAAAUCAGGUUUUCUAUUUCCCCAUUUACAUGAGUGGAUGAAGAAUUUUGAGAAGAUCAGCAGGUUGUUAAGGAUGAGGUCGAUUCUUCUGUCUCUGUGGGUGGUUCCAAAUAUUAUAUCCUCUCUUUUUAGGGGAUGAUGAAGGGAAAGUUUUGAUGAGAUCCAGUCCUGAAAGUUUCUCCAAAAUGUUCCAGUUUGCACACAAUAGAAAAAGAGAUGAUCUGUUGCUUCAAUGUCGUUGUCACAAAAGGUAUUCUGUUAAUGUCCA